GUGUUAUACAAGAACCUUACCACAUAACCUGGGUGUGUUUAAAAGUGUAAAAAGCUUAGCAUAAGUUGCUAACUGUGGAAGCUAACAGCAUUAACCUCCUGGCCCUUCAUCAUUUUCUCCACCCUGCGGCCCUCCUGACUCAUCUCCACUGUGACUCCCUGUGGCAUCCACGAGUGUAUCAGUGGACUGUGUGCCAGUGGAGGAUUGCCGCCUCACAUCCAGGGAUAUAGAGCGAGUCCUGGCAUCACGGCG